GGUUUGAUCAUGAGCUCCAGAUUGAACGCUGGCGGGAUGCUUUCGCACAAGUCGAACAGCAGCACGGACUUCGGUCUGGUGGCGAGUGGCGAACGGGUGAGUAAUGUAUCGGAACGUGCCUAGUAGCGGGGGAUAACUACGCGAAAGCGUAGCUAAUGCCGCAUACGCCCUUCGAAAGCGGGGGACCUUCGGGCCUCGCACUAUUAGAGCGGCCGAUAUCGGAUUAGCUAGUUGGUGGAGUAACGGCUCACCAGUGACGAUCAGCAGCUGGUUUGAGAGGACGACCAGCCACACUGGGACUGAGACACGGCCCGGAACUCCUGCAGGAGGCAGCAGUGGGAAUUUUGGACAAUGGAAACCUGAUCAACCAUCCCGCGUGUGCGAUGAAGGCCUUCGGGUUGUAAAGCACUUUUAGCGGAAAAACGGCACGGGAUAAUACGUGCAGCUGACAAUACCUGCAAGUCGCGCAACUAACUACGUGCCAGCAGCCGCGGUAAUACGUAGGGUGCAAGCGUUAAUCGGAAUUACUGGGCGUAAAGCGUGCGCGAGCGGUUCGGAAAGAAAGAUGUGAAAUCCCAGAGCUUAACUUUGGAACUGCCAUUUUCUAUACCGAGCUAGAGUGUGUCAGAGGGAGGUGGAAUUCCGCGUGUAGCAGUGAAAUGCGUAGAUAUGCGGAGGAACACCGAUGGCGAAAGCGGCCUCCUGGGAUUAACACUGACGCUCAUGCACGAAAGCGUGGGGAGCAAACGGGAUUAGAUACCCUGGUAGUCCACGCCUAAACGAUGUCAACUAGCUGUUGGGGCCUUCGGGCCUUGGUAGCGCAGCUAACGCGUGAAGUUGACCGCCUGCGGGGAAUGCGGUCGCAAGAUUAAAACUCAAAGAAUUGACGGGGACCCACUGACAGUGGAUGAUGUGGAUUAAUUCGAUGCAACGCGAAAACGCCCUACUGAAUGCCGUCUUGAUCGAAGAGAUUUGGUGCUCGCAAGAGAACCGGAACACAGGUGCUGCAUGGCUGUCGUCAGCUCGUGUCGUGAGAUGUUGGGUUAAGUCCCGCAACGAGCGCAACCUUGUCAUUAGUUGCUACGAAAAGGGCACUCUAAUGAGACUGCCGGUGACAAACCGGAGGAAGGUGGGGAUGACGUCAAGUCCUCAUAGCCCUUAUGGGUAGGGCUUCACACGUCAUACAAUGGUGCGGGACAGAGGGUCGCCAACCCGCGAGGAAGGAGCCAAUCCCAGAAACCCGAUCGUAGUCCGGAUCGUAGUCUGCAACUCGACUGCGUGAAGUCAGGAAUCGCUAUUAAUCAUGAUCAGCAUGUGCCGUGAAUACGUUCCCGGGUCUUGUACACACCGCCCGUCACACCAUGGGAGUGGGUUUUACCGAAGUAGUUAGCCUAACCGUAAGGGCAGUGCAGUAGGAUUCAUGACUGGGGUGAAGUCGUAACAAGGUAA
rnacentral:rRNA from 1 species